UUUAACCAUUGAAAUACAAAGAAAUUUUAAAGUACAAUCACUCCAGUCUUUCCCCCAUCCAACUUUUGUUUGUUUAUUGUCUUCAUUCCUCAGCAUUUGCUUCAAAACGUGUUGACGAUUGUUUGGCGAAUGUGGAAAAGCGUCAGGCCUCACCUUCAUUAUUGGCCAGCAUCAGAUGAAUGUGUGUACGAAUGUGCGUCCCAGGCCUCCAGUGUGACAGACGGGGGGUGUGCUGUGACGGAAAGACCCUCGCUAACACUUGCCUGACAGACAAUAAAACACAGAAAGCUCGUCCUGCAGAUAAUUUGACACCCCCUGCCCCCAAUUCUGGACAAAAAAGGGUCCUGUGAGAGAGGAGUGUACAGCCAAGCACAUGGCAGGACAGGCGCUGGUGUCCUGGGCUGGGGCCGUAUGGAAGGUCAGGGGGGUUGGCGAGGAGCGCCAGCCAGGACUCUGAAGGAAACAGUGGGAGAAUGAGGCGGCUUGAGCCCGCUGGUCACCAGCCAACAGCCCAGCCUCGAGUGUACGCUUUCCUCCGCGAAACACUCCACAGUGGUGGAGGGGGAAGGUAUGCAGAACCACACAAUGUAGAUAUUUUGGUUGUUGACAAUGCUGACUUUGGUGGUUUUAACACUUAGUUGUUGUUUUUUUAUGGUGAUUAUAACCAUAUGACCAUCCAAUACUGUUCAUAAGAGACAGUUCAUUUAUAAAAUUAGUUCAUCCAAAAAAAUAAAAGUUCUGUUUAUAAAUACUCACCCUCAUGUCAUUUGAUUAUGAUCAUAGAACUUUGAUCAUCUUCAGAUCACAAUUAAGAUCUUAUAGAGUAGAUCUAAGAGCUCUCUC